UACAUGGGGUGCAAACGUUGCUCGGAAUUAUUGGGCGUAAAGCGCACGUAGGCGGUCCGUUAAGUCGGAUGUGAAAGCCCCCGGCUCAACCGGGGAAGUGCAUCCGAAACUGGCAGGCUAGAGUACGAAAGAGGGUCGCGGAAUUCCCGGUGUAGAGGUGAAAUUCGUAGAUAUCGGGAGGAACACCGGUGGCGAAGGCGGCGACCUGGGUCGAUACUGACGCUGAGGUGCGAAAGCGUGGGGAGCAAACAGG
rnacentral:rRNA from 1 species